rnacentral:rRNA from 1 species
UACAGAGGGUGCGAGCGUUAAUCGGAAUUACUGGGCGUAAAGCGCGCGUAGGCGGCUUUGCAAGUCGGGUGUGAAAUCCCCAGGCUUAACCUGGGAACUGCAUUUGUGACUGGCGGGCUAGAGUAUGGCAGAGGGGGGUAGAAUUCCACGUGUAGCAGUGAAAUGCGUAGAGAUGUGGAGGAAUACCGAUGGCGAAGGCAGCCCCCUGGGCCAAUACUGACGCUCAUGCACGAAAGCGUGGGGAGCAAACAGG